ACGCCAUUUUGGCUGACAAAAGAAGUCUGUUGGAGUACUAAGUUACGCGCUGUGGACCUGCUGAAGUAUAUGAAGAAUGAAGACCCGAGCUGUUGUAGUUUUUGCUGCUCUGUUAUUGCUCGCAACUUUGGCUGCCGAGAGUGAUGCCUUCUCCGGUAAUAAACUAGGAAAAAGAGAAUUGGAAGAAAAGGGGAAAGAGCCGAAAAGUUGAAAAGGAGCAUUUGUGAACUGGCAAGAAGCACUCGAUGCGGGGGAAUUGCGGGGAUUAAUGUCUUUGACGACUACGACAAAGGAAAAAAAUGAACAAGCAUACCUGGAGGGAUAAUCGUGAUAAA